rnacentral:rRNA from 1 species
AUUGAACGCUGGCGGCAGGCUUAACACAUGCAAGUCGAACGAGUGGCGGACGGGUGAGUAAUGCUUGGGAAUCUAGCUUAUGGAGGGGGAUAACUACGGGAAACUGUAGCUAAUACCGCGUACCAUAGGAUGAGCUCAAGUGGGAUGAGGUAGUUGGUGAGGUAAAGGCUCACCAAGGCGACGAUCUCUAGCUGGUAUGAGAGGAUGACCAGCCACCCUGGGCCGGAGCCACGGCCCAGGCUCCUACGGGAGGCAGCAGUGGGAAAUCUUGCGCAAUGGGGGCAACCUGACGCAGCCAUGCCGCGUGAUUGAAGCAGGCCUUCGGGUUGUAAAGUUCUUUCGGUAGCGAGGCGUUAACUACAGAGGAAGCACCGGCUAACUCCGUGCCAGCAGACGCGGUAAUAC